UACGUAGGGGGCAAGCGUUGUCCGGAAUCAUUGGGCGUAAAGAGCGUGUAGGUGGCUCGGUAAGUCCGCUGUGAAAGUCCAGGGCUCAACCCUGGAAAGCCGGUGGAAACUGUCGAGCUCGAGUCCGGAAGAGGCGAGUGGAAUUCCUGGUGUAGCGGUGAAAUGCGCAGAUAUCAGGAGGAACACCAAUGGCGAAGGCAGCUCGCUGGGACGGUACUGACACUGAGACGCGAAAGCGUGGGGGAGCAAACAGGG
rnacentral:rRNA from 1 species